UAGGAAGAACAGCAUCCUCUCUUUGUGUUAACAGCAGAAUCAGUAACAUUGAUGGUGGUUCCUUGAGUGGGAGGUCCACUGCCUGCUGCCUCUUGGGCAGCAAGUGCCUUCUUGCUGAUGAUUUGAUGAAUAUCUUUAAGGAUAGUCUGAAAUGCCUUCUCAACAUUAAGGGCUUCCAGAGCUGAGGUCUCGAGGAAUGAUAGACCUUCCUUCUCUGCUAGUGCCUGACCAUCUUCCUCUGGAACUGAUCUCAGGUGGUUAAGGUCUGAUUUGUUGCCUACCAUCAUAAUGACAAUGUUGGAGUCCGCAUGAUCACGAAGUUCACGAAGCCACCUCUGGAUGUUUUCAAACGUCUGCUUCUUUGUUAUGUCAUAGACUAGAAGUGCCCCCACAGCUCCCCGGUAGUAAGCACUUGUGAUUGCACGGUACCUCUCCUGCCCAGCAGUAUCCCAUAUCUGAGCUUUGAUGGUCUGCCCUUCUAUCUCGUGCGGGUGGCGAACUCGACGCCAAUGGUGGACUUGGACUCGAGGCAGAACUCGUUGCGGGUGAAUCGCGAGAGGAUGUUGGACUUGCCGACGCCGGAGUCGCCGAUGAGCACGAUCUUGAAGAGGUAGUCGUACUCGUUGUCCACCCGGUGCGCCAU
rnacentral:sRNA from 1 species